rnacentral:rRNA from 1 species
UACAGGGGGGGCAAGCGUUGUUCGGAAUUACUGGGCGUAAAGGGUUCGUAGGUGGCUACCUAAGUCAGACGUGAAAUCCCUCAGCUUAACUGGGGAACUGCGUCUGAUACUGGGUGGCUUGAGUGCAGGAGAGGAAUGCGGAAUUCCAGGUGUAGCGGUGAAAUGCGUAGAUAUCUGGAGGAACACCGGUGGCGAAGGCGGCAUCCUGGACCGGCAUUGACGCUGAGGCGCGAAAGCCAGGGGAGCGAACGGG